CACACUUACACGUUAUCCCAGAACUCCCAGCAAAGAAGGAUAAGCUUUUGCAAGCACAAAGUCUCCGGUUGUCAUUCCAGGGCUGCUGUGCCAUAGCUACAUUUAGAAAGUUGCAGGAGAAAAUAAACUGAUUAACAAGCAGCGAAACCUGCAAAUUAUGCCUCACUUAGGCUUAGAUUCAAGAAAACCCAGACCAAGCUUGGGAUUCUAAGAGUCUCUCCGUGCAAGCUGACCUCAUGGAGAAAGUGGCAGAGCUUGUCCCUUCCACUGGGAGACCCUGGAGUUCAUUCAGGAGACUGGAUGCCCCUGGGCUCGGGCUGCACUGUGGACCCCACUGUGGAAUCACCACUCCCAGGCUGACCUCAGGCAGGUUCCAGAUCUGUUCUCCACUUCUGCAACAAAACUUACCCGGGCCAUGGUUUUAUGCAGAAAUCUGACAAGGUCCAUCAAGAGGUUUCCAGAAGAAGGCAUCGCUAUCACAGGAGAUGGCAGCUCCAUGCCUGUUACUGCCCCUGAAGAUGUUCCAGUGGGACAGGGUGUGGAGGUGGAAGACAGCAACAGUGACGAUCCUGACCCUAAAUUGACCAGAUUGCUUUGAGGAACUAAGAAGCUGUUAAACCUUUGGAAGAACUGGCCUGAUACGUUGUCUACAUGGUUCUCCUACAAGGUGUAUGAGUCCAUUUUUAUGCUGCUGAUAAAGACAUACCUGCAACUAAGAGGAAAAAGUUGUUUAACUGGACUUACAGUUCCACAUGGCUGGGAAGGCCUCAGAAUCAUGGCAGGAGGCGAAAGGCACUUCUUACAUGGUGGCACCAAGGGAAAAUGAGGAUGAUGAAAAAGUGAAAACCCCUGAAAAAAUCAGAUUUUGUGAGACUUAUUCACUACCACGAGAACAGUCUGGGGGAAACCGCUCCCAUGAUUCAAAUUAUCUCCCACCCGGUCCCUGCCCCCGCAACCCCCCCACAACAUAUGAGAAUUACGGGAGUACAAUUCAAGAAGAUUUAGGUGGGGACACAAAGCCAAACCAUAUUACAAGGUUUAUAGCCUUGCAGUAAGUAAAGAAUACCAUUUUCUGACAAGCCCAGGAACUUCAGGAUAUUUUGGGGACCUCAAAAAAGAGGGAUUUACCCAAUUCAUACAAGUAUUACAGGCAAAAUCUGAUGGUGAAUUGCUGGCCUGGCUUCCAAUCUUAAGAGGCUUUUAAAGAUUGAACCUGAAAUUCCUUAUAAAAAAAGUUUCAGUCAAGUCAAUUUAAAAAGUGCUCAGAUGGCCAAGUACAAUUCUGGCUGUACUUUAGUCAAAUACUCAGGCCAAGUAUAACAAGUCUAAGACUUUAUUUUGCAAAUAAAUUGGUCCUACUGUAAACCAAAAAGUGUCUGAGACAAGUUUCAGUCCAUUUAGAAAGUUUAUUUUGCCAAGGUUAAGGACAUACCAGUGACACAGCCUCGGGAGAUCUUGACAACAUGUGCCUAAGGUGGUUGGGGCACAGCUUGGUUUUCUACAUUUUAGGGAGACAUGAGACUCAAUCAUUAUAUGCACGAUGUACAUUGGUUUGGUCCAGAAAAGAGGGACAACUUAAAACCAAAAGAGGGCUUCCAGGUCAGAGGUAGAUAAGAGACAAAUGGUUGCAUUCUUUUGAGUUUCUGAUUAGGCUUUCACUGAAUACACAAUUUACAGAAAUAGUCGCUUAUGCCUUAGUCUGGCUUAGUAAAGCAACAGAACAAAGGAAGCACUCAGAUGCGCGUGUCCCAUGUGAGCAGAGGGAUAACUUUGACAUCUGUUUGUGCUUUGUCUAAAGGAAUUUUUCUUCGUGGGAAAAUUGUAAGGGAGGCUUUCAGACAAAUUUUUCUCCUAUUUUUUAAGCUCACUGAAAUUGAUAAUACCUUUUUACCGAGGCCUUGCAAGCUGAAGUUUAUGCAUAAAUAACCUUGUGACAUACAAAUUACAGAUCACAAAAUCUGUCAGAUCGCCAAUGCCUCCUUCCACAGUAACUAAAGAUGCCUCUAGUUGAACAGCUGGAUACCUCAACUGACUGCUCUCCAGACUCUAAAGAAAUCCGUUUAUAGACUGCUCCAAAUAUUAACCUUUGUUUUUCUGCUGUUUGGGAGCCCAUCUGCAACGCCAUUUCCUGAAAUGAGACACAGCUGUUUAAUUGGACUGGUCUACUCGUAGAAAUAGAACACCAGUUUAAUGAUAAUUUUUGCUACUCAGCUAUUAACUCAAAUAUUAUCUUCACACCCAACAACUUAGAUUUUAGUGUGUGAAACUUUGAGGGACAUUUUAGACAGAGGACUUUUGGGGUGCAGAAGUGGUUCCCUGAUAUAUGACACCUGGGCAUGGUGAGUGCUUUUAAACAUUAAAAGACCUCAUAAAUAAGCCUCAGAAUCAUGGUCCCCCUAAAACUGUCUUGGGGCAGGAAGGGACUCUCUCUCUGUAAUUUCCUUAUCUGACUAAGAAAUCUUCUUCCCAAAAAACCACAAUUGCCAUCUAGCCCAUUCCUGAAAUCUCAUUUCAGACAGAAAUGUUACCAUAUCUGGAUGGUCUCUUUCACAAGAUAAUGCCUGCCUCUUGGGGUCAUUCAAAUUCCAAAAAGUAUUAUUUACAAGUUAAUUUCUGUCUCUAAAUUCCACACCUUUUCUUCCUAAUAAUCAUUUACUGCUCCUGAAUAGCAUUGUCUGCAUUCCUCAUCUCCUCCCUCCUUUGUGAAAAAGGGUUUAUAAGCCUCUGUCCCCACUGGGGGUUAGGGUAAUCACUCUGUGAUUCUCUCCAGUGCAUGUUAAAAAUGUGUAUACCUCUUCUCCAAUUAAUCUGUCUUCUGCCAGUCAAUUUUCAGCAAACCUUCAGAGGGCAAAGUAGAUGUUUCCCUUGGCCCCUGUACCCCUUAGGAGCCCUGAAACACUUAUUUUUCCAUAUUAUGCUCUUUAUAUUAAUUUGCUAAUUUACUGAACACAUAUUUUUCAAGCAACUCCUCAUUUGCUGGGCACCUUUCUGGGUGCUGGGACAUAAAGAGACGUGGAGAGAGUUGCCUUGUGAUACAGGAGGUAGAAAGAAAUUAUUUAGGCAGAUAGUGAGGGUAAAAGAGUCUUUGACAGAGCUUCCCUUUUAACAAAAAGCAGCCCAAGAAAUUAUUUUUUUUUCUAACAAAGGGCAGCCUGAAAAGUUGAGCUGCAAACAUAGACAAGCAAGCUGGAAGCUUGCAUGGGAAAUGCCAGCAGCUGUGCCAAUAGAAAAUGGCUACCUGGGGGUCAGGCACGUCCAACGUUGAGGCUCCAUCUUCCCUUUUUUUGUCACUGUGUGUACAGUAAAGGAAUGGGCAACAUGGUGCUGCCACAGCAGAGGACCUGCCUGCUUAAUGAGUGAUUAGGAUGGGGGUGGCCAAAAAUUCGCACCCUAUGCAAAUGGCACACCUAGUCCUAACCAGUUUUUCACACCCCAUGCAAAUGGCACACCUGGUCCAGCCAAUCUUUUGUGCUCUAUGUAAGUCAAAUACCACCCCCUCACCAGACAUCUAUAAAACCUCCUACAUUUCACCACGGCUCCAGCAGCUCAUUUCUUCGGGACCCUUCUCUGCUGCAGGGAGCCGUCCUCCUCCUUUCACCUGUUAAACAUCCACUCUCAACCUCACUCUUCGUGUGUCUGUACCCUUUAGUUUCUCAGCCAUGAGACAGUGAUUUCCAGGGUAUCGCCCCAGACAAUGAGGCCGUUUCACUUGCACACUCACUUGCACACUCGAUUUGUCCCACUCUAGGCCCCCUACUAGGUACCUUGGGUAAGUAAUACAGCAUAUUUUUAUCCUAUGUUUUCUUAAAAUAAGUAAUGGGGAUACUAGAAGCUACAAUCUCAGUCAUGCCAACAAUUAUGGAAUCCAUGGGAAGCACUUGUUACGGACUUAGACCUGGUGAGCGUCUGUAUUUUUUCUGUGGCUGUUGUAACAAAUUACUACCAACGUGGUGGUUUAAAACAAUUCCCACAGUAGAGCUGGCCUGAGUUCCAAGCACCUUCACGGGGCUAAAAUUGAGGUAUUUGGGGAGAGCUGCACUCCUUCUGGAGGCUUUGGGGAGCACCGGCCCUUGGCUCUCCUGACUUCAGGUGGCUGCCAGCACUCGGCUGCAGCUGCCUCACUGCAAUCUGUGCCUCUGUAGUCGUGCCGGGGCCAAGGCAACACGUCCCCUUCACCCUCUGAAGGCUUGCUGGUAAAUAAACUGACAAAAGGCAGAUUAAUUGGAGGAAAGGCAUGAACAUUUAUUAAUAGGUGCUUGGGGGAGAGCCACAGAGUGAUUGUCCCAUAUUCAAUGGGGCCCAGAUACUUGUAUAGCCCUAUUUCAGAGGGGAAGAGGAGAUGGGAAUGUAGGUAAUUACAGGGUGAUACAUGAUUAAAGAAGAGAAUAAAUAGAUCAGGGAACAGGGAUUCACUUGUAAAUGAUGCUCUUUGAAAAUUGACUGAGACUGAGAGACAGACAUUAUCUUGUGAAAGUCUGUCCUGGAGUGGUUACACUCUUGGUCCUGUUUUCUGUAAUAGAUAAUGAGCUAACAGAGAGAGGAAGGAAAGACAGUUGUUCUCCUUGGAUACUCCCUCUGGUCUCUAUGUAGACAGAGAAAAUUCUCCUCCAGCCUCUGUUGAUCUCUGAAGGUCUUUAAUUAAAAAUGCACAUUACAUCAGGGACCACUAUUUUGGGGUGAAGUUCUCUGCACUCCUUCAGUUUCACAUCUUCUGCCAGUUAAGCCACCCUCUGUCUCUCUCUUACAGUAGCACUUGUGAUUCCAUUUAAGGUACACCUCGAUAAUCAGAGCUAUUGCUCCACCACAGAAUCCUUAAACACAUUCCCAAAGACCCUUUCUCUACAUCGGGGAACAACUACACAUUCCAGAGAUUAGGACCUGAUACCUGUGUAAGCUAUUAUUUAGCUCACCACUACAUUUGAUAUAUACCUGUCCCUGGCCCCCAAUCAUUAGAUUAUAAAGAAGGGCUGUCCAAUUGUCAUCUGUCUUCACUGUGGUGCCAACCCUGGAGCUCCCUUGUUAAUACCUAUAUAAUCCUGAGCCCCAACAUGGUUUCAUCUACGCAGAGUAGGGCAGACCUCACCACGUGGGCCAUGGGGCAUUGACCUACUCUGUUUAUCGGUGAUCAGUUCUCUUCCCAUGAUCUGGCCUAAAGUUUCUGGAAAACAGUUUCUAUGCAUAAUUAUCCCAGGUGGAUAUUCCAGAGCUAUAAAAUGCAGAGAUCCUGUCCUGGCCCUGUGUCUAAGCUAGAGAAACAUUUAUUUCAGGUUAUUCUGAGGCUUGAUGGGAAUGACCCUGGUUCCUGGUCUAACCUAAUAGUAAACAUGUUCCCACAGCCAGGUUCUGAGUACUCCAUGGGGCCUGAGCUAACCUCAGUUUUGGGGGACUGUUCUACUUUGUGAAUCACUUUACCAGGCACACAGGCUCUGAAGUUCUUUUCUUCCCUCUUCUUUCCCUCUCUUCCUCAUUCUCCCUCUCCUCUCUCACUCCAUUGAUCUUUUUCUAUUCCUCAACUCCCCAUUUGCUGUCAUCUACUUUGAUUUCCUCAUUCUCCCUCAUGUCUAUAUAUCCAUAUACAGCUUAACUCCCCCCCUCCAUCUCAUCUGAUUCCUCUGUUGAUGAAAAAGCCAAACUCUGAAAAAUAUUUAGAGAUUUAUUCUUAACCAAUAUGAGUGACCAUGGUCAAGGGAACAGUCUUAGAAGGUCUGGAGAAAGUGAGGUGGUUGGAUUACAGCUUGGUUUAUACUUUUUGUGGAGACAAAAGUUACAGACAAAGACAUAAAUCAAUACAUGUGUCAGAGGUGUUUGAACCAGAGAGACUCCAUCUGAAUAGGGGCAUGGUAAAAUAAGAGUGAGACCUACUGGGCUGCAUUCCCAGGAGGUUAGGUAUUCUUAACUUCACAAGAUGAGAUAGGAGGUUGGCCGGAGAUGCAGGUCAUACAGACCUUGCUGAUAACACAGGUUGCAGUAAAGAAGCUGGUGAAAACCCCCGAAAACCAAGAUGGCAACGAGAGUGAUCUCUGGUCUUCACUGCUACACUCCCACUAGCACCAGGACAGUUUACAAAUGCCAUGGCAAUAUCAGGAAGUUACCCUAUAUGGCCUAAAAUGGGAGUCACGAAUAAUCCACCCCUUGUUUAAUAUAUCAUCAAGAAAUAACCAUAAAAAUGGGCAACCAGCAGCCCUCGAAGCUGCUCUGCCUAUGAUGUAGCUAUUCUUUAUUCCUUUGCUUUCACUUUACUGUAUGGACGCACCCCGAAUUCUUUCUUGCACAACAUCCAAGAACCCUCCCUUGGAGUCUGGACCCUGACCUCUUUCCAGUAACACAUGUAAGGUAUACAUUGGUAGGCCCAAAGAUGUGAAAUAUUUCAAAGUGGGGACUUACAGGUAAUAGGUGAAUUCAAGGAUUUUCUGAUCAGCAUUUGGUUGAAAGAAUUUAGCUUUGUCUAAAGACAGUAGAAAGACAUGCUUGAGUUAAGAAAAGGAAGGUUGUGGAAGCCAAGGUUCUUGUUAUGUAGAUGAAGCCUCUAGGUAGUAUUCUUCUGAGAGAAUAGAUGGUCAAUGUCUCUUUUCAGAUUUUAAAUACAGUCCAACUCAAUUAAAUCUCCUCUAGACGUGGCAAAGACCUAGAAAGGGAAAGAGAUUCUAAAGAUGCAAAACUUUACCCCACAAAAGGCUUUGCAGGGCCAUUUCAAAAUAUAUCAGAUAAAUAUAUUUUGAAGUAAAGUGUGUCAGUUUCUUUCAGGGUCUGCUGUCGUGUGAUGCUAUACCAGAGUCAAGUUGGAAUUUGGCAUCUUACUGCCAAAGGGUCUGUUUCAUCCAUAUAAGGAUGUCUAUUUUAAUGUUAAUGCUGGUAAGUUUUGCCUAAACUCCAAAAAAAGAGGGGGUAUAAUGAGGCAUGUCUGACCUGUCUUCCUUCAUGGCCUGGAAUUCAGUUUUUUCGGUUUCUUUGUAAUUCCCUUGGCCCAGAGGGUGGACCCAUUCAUUCGGUCUGAUGGAGGGCUUAGAGAUUUUAUUUUUGGUUUACACCUCAGACUCGAUUCAAGUCAGCAAAUACUUUUAGCACAAAGUAUAUGCCAGAUAUUGUUUAAAGUGGGAUAAAGAACAGAUGGUAUGCCUGGCAUGGUCCUGAUCUGGAAGGACCUAACCUCUUCCUGCCUCUUCCUGGAACCUGUCUUUGCUUUUCAAAUGCCUGCCAGUCUCUGCCUAUCCUUUCCACUCUGUGUCCUGAUUUCUUGUGUUCUCCUCUCACUUUCUCUUGUGUUCUCUGUCCUCUCUCUUCCUUUUGUUCUAAAAUGGCAUCAAAAUCUUAUAAUAAAAAUCUAUCUCCCAUGUUACUUGAAUGACUCUCUACCAAUCUCAUUAUGUUUGUUAUAGAUGAAUAUAAUAUGAGUGAUUUUAAAAAUAUUAUUUUAUUAAAUAAAUUAUGAAAAAUACACAGCAAGGCCUGGGAUUGACAUGCUCAUUUUCAGCCUCAAUAUUAAAUCUCUAGACUGCACAAAUGAUUACACAUUGAACUAAAUGUAUGGUUUUAUCUUUUGUGCCUAUAAAGAAAAGUCUUUCAUAUUAUACAAUUUGUACCACUUUCUCUUUUUUUUGCACAUACACUUCUCCAGCUCCAUUGCCAAACCUCAGCUGUCAAUUCUGUUUAGUCCCGUUGAUGAAAAGAACCAAAUUCUAAAAUAUUUGAAGAGAUUCUUUCUGAACCAUAUAGGAGUGACCAUGGCCCAUGACACAGCCCUCAGGAGAUCUUGAGAACAUGUGCUCAAGGUGGUAGGGGUGUGGCUUGGUUUUAUGCAUUUUAGGGAGACAUGAGACUUCAAUCACAC
rnacentral:lncRNA from 1 species